CUAUAUCUGUGUCUUUCUCUAUAUUUUUCGGCAUAUUUGCGCUUGUCCUUGGUAUAUUGCUUGCUUUUGAGAUCUAACAAGGUAAUAGUUUCUUGAUAAGGUUGGGUUGUCUCUCUUUAUCAUUGCCUACUUAUGUUUAUGUUUAAUUACCUACAAGGCUUUCACAAUCCAUUCACUUCUUCUUUACUUCAAUAAUCAUGCCACAUAAUCUUCCCGCCUGCGCUUAUUUCUCAAGUCAUGCAAAUGUGGCUAAAUUUCAUUCUCUUGAUAAGAUAAAUUUAGCUCGAUAUCUUUUACCAUGAAAGGUGAAAAAAAAAUGAUAUCUUUCCACUCUUAAAACGUCAAGUUAGCACCCGAGAUGAUUUUAGUUGUAUAAUUUUUUAGAAUCAAGAGUCUUACAAUUUAAAAAGAUACACUAUAUUUUUUUAUUUUGAUUUUAGAUGUCGAGAGAAUCAGAGGAAGGAAUCUUCACGCCUCCAAGUUGCGAAUAGAAAGCUGAUGGCUAUCAACCUUCUUUUGAUGGAGGAGAAUGAAAGUUUGCAAAAGCAGGUGUCACAAUUGCUGUAUGAUAAUGGAUAAUUUCGCCAAAAUAACUAGAGUGAUUUGUCUCACCCCUUCCCAGCAAAAGCAAUCAAAAGUUUGUUUAUGCACUAGAAGGAGGUUUGGCGCCUCUUAUGCCAACAAUUGGUACUUUCCCAAUUGAAGAAGCAACCACUAGCAGAGGAGAAGGCAUGUCAAUUAUAUUUAUUACUUGAUAUUUUUGUUAGCCAAUGUUUGAGUUUUCUUGUUGUAUUUAGAAAUUACGCUACCGAUUGCGAUUCUGUUUUUUGCGAUAGGUACGUGAGAUUAAGGUGAUUGAGUUCGUGAAUGUCUUCGUUCUUUUUUGAUUUGGUGUGAAUUAUAGUUUGCUUUUGUUGUUUUUGAAGAUGCUCAGACUCUACGUUUUGUAUUCAAGCUCUCUCUACUUUUGUUUUCUACAAGGUGGGUUAUUAUUAGUCUCUGCUUCAGCACGACAACUGCCGUUGGUGCCACUGCCCUACUAUAUCACGUUUUUUGAUGGAAAAAGAUGGAAAGCUGAGAACAAAAAAGUGAUUACAAUAACAAUAUGGAAGCUCACAAUAUGAAACAGGUGCACUUUUAGGUCUCAAGAGUUUGCUUCAUGUCUCUCUAAUGCCACCUGUAAAAUCUAAAGCAGAGAAGAUUUUGCCUCCCAUGUACAGAGUUCCACAUUUCAUAUCCACAACAAAUAAUCCAUCCCUUCCCAAUUUUUCUUUUGUUGGUUUGAAUUUUAUUUUUAUGCUUUGAUUAUUUUGUAGAGGAUGAUGUAGCUUAACAUAUUAGUCUUGAGUAGCUUAACCCACAUUUUAAUUAUAAU